rnacentral:rRNA from 1 species
GACGAACGCUGGCGGCGUGCCUAAUACAUGCAAGUAGGACGCAGUUGCGAACGGGUGAGUAACGCGUAGGUAACUACCUAUUAGAGGGGGAUAACUAUUGGAAACGAUAGCUAAUACCGCAUACUAGUAGAUGGACCUGCGUUGUAUUAGCUAGUAGGUAGGGUAAUGGCCUACCUAGGCAACGAUACAUAGCCGAACUGAGAGGGGGAUGGGCCAAACCGGGACUGGGAGACGGCCCAGAAUCCUAAGGGAGGCAGCCGUAGGGAAUCUUCGGCAAUGGGGGGAACCCUGAACAAGGAAAGCCGGGGGAGUGAAGAAGGUUUUCGGAUCGGAAAGCUCUGUUGUUAAGGAAGCGGUACUUAACCAGAAAGGGACGGCUAACUACGUGCCAGCAGCCGCGGUAAUAC